rnacentral:rRNA from 1 species
UACGAAGGGGGGCUAGCGUUGCUCGGAAUCACUGGGCGUAAAGCGCACGUAGGCGGAUUGCUAAGUCAGGGGUGAAAUCCUGGAGCUCAACUCCAGAACUGCCUUUCAUACUGGCAAGCUAGAGUCCGGAAGAGGUAAGUGGAACUCCUAGUGUAGAGGUGGAAUUCGUAGAUAUUAGGAAGAACACCAGUGGCGAAGGCGGCUUACUGGUCCGGAACUGACGCUGAGGUGCGAAAGCGUGGGGAGCAAACAGG